CUAACGUUACAUUAUUCAUAGGGUUAGCGCUGCCCCCAUCUCCUGCCCCAAACACAGCCCCGGAUCCGCGAGAUGCUCCUCCGGACUUAAACGAUUUUAACUCUCGACUCAAUGGGUAGGAUAUAGAAGGCUGUGCAACCUGCCUCCCGGCACAGUCAUGUACGGCUGAUUGUGAAGAAUGCCAUUUUCAUCAGAGAACAUCAUGGCACAGGACAGGCUGAAAAAUGUAGCCAUCAUUUCCAAAGAAAAGACAACUCUCAAGUCACUUCAACCAAAUCCUCAUUGGUAUGACAAGGCCAUAGACAUCUACAGACAGCUACACAGGCCACAGACAGCCAGGAGAGUUGACUUCUGUUUCAAACCAAUGCCCAUGUGCCCUCAGUAAUUACAGUAUCUUAAAGGCAUUGUGUAGGAUUUAGUGGCAGCAAAUUUGCAGAUUGCAACCAACUGAGUACCCCUCCGUCACCGCUCACUUUCCAAGCAUGUAGGGUAACCUAUGGUUGCCGUCAGUUGCCCUUAAACUGUGAAAGACCCUCUGAUGUUGAGAUAAUUUCCAAGCACUGUUAAUGAUUUAAGAAUAUAUGAAUCAAGUGCCUUGUAUUAAUAUAUUCCUUGUAUGAAUCAUGUGCUUAUGAAAACAGGAACA